AAAGAAUGUUGCAGACAUACUGCAGCUUGAAACCAACGAGCUACAAAGUCUGAAGCUACAGCAUGACCAGAAGGUGGUGGAGCUGGAGAAGACUCAGGUCGACCUGCUGGAGGGGAAGCUAGAGCUAGAGAGUUUGCAGCAGACAGCUCAGCAGCAGAGACGGGAGCUAGAGCGGCAGAGACAACUCCUGGAGAGAGACAGGCGGGAGACAGAGCGAGUGAGGGCUGAGACCCAGGCACUACAGUCCUGCAUCGAAUGUCUGAAUAAAGAAAAGGAACAUCUCCAAGAGCAGUGCGAGAGUUGGGAAAAGAAGUCUUCCCACGCCAAAAGAGUUUUAGCAGCUACCGAGGAAAGCAACAACACGGAGCAGUCCAAGCUGGGGCAGCUGGAAGUGAGCGUCAGGAAGCUGCAGCAGGAGCUGGAGCUCCUGAGCCAAGACAAGCUCGCCCUACACAGUGAUAGCGCCCAGGAGCAACAGCAGCUGCAAG
rnacentral:lncRNA from 1 species